AUUUUGCACUGGAAUGAGAUGGAGCAGGGAGAGGCUGUAGCGCAUCCCUUCUCUUCCCACCCCUGAGUGCAUCCACACUGUGUGGACCCCUCAGCCCACACAUCCAAGCACUGAACACAGUUCCAGUAAACAGCUGGCCAGGGUGUGCAUGUGAACCCUCUGUUCACCCUCAGCAGGGCCAGCUGGGAGAAGAUUGGUGAGGGCUCUGGAAGGGGCCUGGGUCCAGUUGAGCAGUGAAUCCCAGAUACUGGAGCAUGGUCUUCAGCACAGUGCUUGAUAAAUAUUUGCUGGCUCAUUCAGCUGCAGCUGCAGAGACCUACCUGUGGUUGCUGUGGCGACUGUCCGGACCAAAGCUCAGGCAGCUGGAAGUAUCAGUGAAGCCAGAAGAUUUCAGCUGUUCAAUGUCUGUGAGGAGGAGUCAAGGUCUGGGAUUUGUGUCCUCUGCAUAGCAAUGGCACUGCAAUGGACGAGCCUGGUGCAGGGCUGGGCUGUCUCGCUACUGUCACCUGCCUGUUGAGGGAUGAUGGUGGUUGUUGAGAGGCUGGAUCAGACCCCAGAGGUGGCAUGGAUGUGACAUAUUUGUUGGGCUUACACAGUCUUGUAUUUUAUUUCCAUCUCUGUUCCUUCCUUCCAUGAGAUCUUGGGUGGUGCUUCAUCAACCCUGAGUAAUCGUUCCUUCAUCUGCAAGUUGGAAUAAAAAGGCCUACCUCACUGGGCUCAUGUGGGUGAGGAGAACUGAAGAGUCUGAGAGCACCAGCAUGGUGCUUGGCACGAGCCAGAGGCUACAGAAAACACUGCCCUCCCACACUCCACCUUGGAGAGACUCAGAAAAGAACAAGCUUCGUUUGAAAAAAAGGAAAGCAGCUCAGGCAAUGGGGUGGCUUAGAGGCACUCUCCUGUGUGCAGACGCCUUCCACUUCUUCCAUCUGCUCUGUCUCUCCAAGAACCCCUAUGGCCCUCGGCUCAGAGCAGAGCUGAGUGCAGAAAUGAAAAUCUGUGGCCCUGUGUUCCAAAACGAUGAAGAAUUUCAAGAUGGUGGCAGUGGCAAAAUCCUUCUCCAGGAAAAUUCUUUCCUUGGCCCAAUGUGUAAACACUUGCUGAGGAACUUGUAG
ensembl:lincRNA